CUGAGUGAGGGCCCUCUGGGUCCAACCUCCCACCCGUGUUUAUUAUACCUUGUUGCUUCGGUGCGCCCGCCUCACGGCCGCCGGGGGGCUUCUGCCCCCGGGUCCGCGCGCACCGGAGACACUAUUGAACUCUGUCUGAAGAUUGCAGUCUGAGCAUAAACUAAAUAAGUUA
rnacentral:misc_RNA from 1 species